UACGAAGGGGGCUAGCGUUGCUCGGAAUCACUGGGCGUAAAGCGCACGUAGGCGGCUUUUUAAGUCAGGGGUGAAAUCAUGGAGCUCAACUCCAGAACUGCCUUUGAUACUGGAGAGCUUGAGUCCGGGAGAGGUGAGUGGAACUGCGAGUGUAGAGGUGAAAUUCGUAGAUAUUCGCAAGAACACCAGUGGCGAAGGCGGCUCACUGGCCCGGUACUGACGCUGAGGUGCGAAAGCGUGGGGAGCAAACAGG
rnacentral:rRNA from 1 species